UACGCCCUUCCCGUUGUUGAUG
rnacentral:siRNA from 1 species